UACGGGGGGGGCAAGCGUUGUUCGGAAUUACUGGGCGUAAAGGGCUCGUAGGUGGCCAACUAAGUCAGACGUGAAAUCCCUCGGCUUAACCGGGGAACUGCGUCUGAUACUGGAUGGCUUGAGUUCGGGAGAGGGAUGCGGAAUUCCAGGUGUAGCGGUGAAAUGCGUAGAUAUCGGGAGGAACACCAGUGGCGAAGGCGACUUCCUGGCCUGUUCUUGACGCUGAGGCACGAAGGUCAGGGGAGCAAACGGG
rnacentral:rRNA from 1 species